rnacentral:rRNA from 1 species
GACGAAGGAUCCAAGCGUUGUCCGGAUUUACUGGGUUUAAAGGAUGCGUAGGCGGACACUUAAGCCAGUGGUGAAAUCCCAUAGCUCAACUAUGGAACUGCCAUUGGAACUGUGUGUCUUGAAUUCGGUUGAGGUAGAUGGAAUAUAACAUGUAGCGGUGAAAUGCUUAGAUAUGUUAUAGAACACCGAUUGCGAAGGCAGUCUNCUAAGCCGACAUUGACGCUGAGGCANGAAAGCGUGGGGAGCGAACAGG